GCCAAUAAUAAUAAUAAUAAUAAUUUAUUUAAUCACGAUAUAAGUUUUACAGGCCUCUACGUCUUAAAACGAUGCACUUCACAUAUUGUGACUUCUUUUAUAUAAAAAAUAACUUUAGUUUCGUAUAUACGUCAAGCAGCACCGAUGUUGGCUUCGCGCCCAAGCGUCACAUUCUUGGAAUGCUUGUAGAAUAUUAAAAAAAAUGCAUAAGUUUUAAAAUGCCAUAGUUACCAUAGCUUUUUAAAGCUCGGCUUCCUCACAUGCAAUGUUCUAUACUGCAACUUGACCAUUUACCAUUUUACCACGAAUACUUGGAUCUAUGCAGGAUUCAAAUUACAACAAUGGUUGAUUUCUAAAGGUCUCCUUACAUGAGACCAGAACGAAGUCAAACCGGGACCAUCUCGUUUCGGUCAUAGUAUUAUCUAUAAUAGAUGUUUACAUGAGACCGGGACGAAAAUAACUCAGACCGGUCUCAAGUCAUUCCGCCUUCUGGACCGAACCGACUGACUUCAGACCGGCAUGAAUUCAGA
rnacentral:lncRNA from 1 species